rnacentral:rRNA from 1 species
AACGAACGCUGGCGGCGUGGAUUAGGCAUGCAAGUCGAACGCGAAAGAGGGAGCAAUCCCUCAAGUAGAGUGGCGAACGGGUGAGUAACGCGUGAAGAACCUGCCUUCAACAGGGGGAUAACACUCCCAACGGGGUGCUAAUACCGCAUGAGACCACGGGUCGCAUGGACCUGAGGUCAAAGGUGGCCUCUGCUUGCAAGCUACCGGUUGAAGAUGGCUUCGCGUCCCAUAGCUAGUUGGCGGUGUAAAAGACCACCAAGGCGACGAUGGGUAGCUGGUCUGAGAGGAUGGUCAGCCACACUGGGACUGAGAUACGGCCCAGACUCCUACGGGAGCAGCAGUCGAGAGGCUUUGGCAAUGGGGAAACCCUGACCAAGCGACGCCGCGUGGAGGAUGAAGGCCCUUGGUUGUAAACUCCUUUGUCGGGAAGAAAUGCGAUCAGGUAAACAAUCUGGUCGUUUGACGGUACCGGCGAAUAAGCUCGGCUAACUCGU